rnacentral:rRNA from 1 species
GACGAACGCUGGCGGCGUGCUUAACACAUGCAAGUCGAACGGAAAGGCCCUGCUUUUGUGGGGUGCUCGAGUGGCGAACGGGUGAGUAACACGUGAGUAACCUGCCCUUGACUUUGGGAUAACUUCAGGAAACUGGGGCUAAUACCGGAUAGGAGCUCCUGCUGCAUGGUGGGGGUUGGAAAGUUUCGGCGGUUGGGGAUGGACUCGCGGCUUAUCAGCUUGUUGGUGGGGUAGUGGCUUACCAAGGCUUUGACGGGUAGCCGGCCUGAGAGGGUGACCGGCGACAUUGGGACUGAGAUACGGCCCAGACUCCUACGGGAGGCAGCAGUGGGGAAUAUUGCACAAUGGGCGGGAGCCUGAUGCAGCAACGCCGCGUGCGGGAUGACGGCCUUCGGGUUGUAAACCGCUUUCGCCUGUGACGAAGCGUGAGUGACGGUAAUGGGUAAAGAAGCACCGGCUAACUACGUG